rnacentral:rRNA from 1 species
GUCUUGUAAUUGGAAUGAUGGUGACCUAAACCCUCACCAGAGUAACAAUUGGAGGGCAAGUCUGGUGCCAGCAGCCGCGGUAAUUCCAGCUCCAAUAGCGUAUAUUAAACUUGUUGCAGUUAAAAAGCUCGUAGUUGAAUUUCUGCGUUAUCGAGUUAUUGACUCUUGUCUUUAAUCGAUUUCGCUUUUGGGAUUUAUCCCUUUUUACUUUGAGAAAAUUAGAGUGUUUCAAGCAGACUUUUGUCUUGAAUACUUCAGCAUGGAAUAAUAGAGUAGGACUUUGGUUCUAUUUGUUGGUUUUUGAACCUUAGUAAUGGUUAAUAGGAACGGUUGGGGGCAUUCGUAUUUAACUGUCAGAGGUGAAAUUCUUAGAUUUGUUAAAGACGAACUACUGCGAAAGCAUUUGCCAAGGACGUUUCCAUUAAUCAAGAACGAAAGUUAGGGGAUCGAAGACGAUCAGAUACCGUCGUAGUCCUAACCAUAAACUA